rnacentral:rRNA from 1 species
AGAAAUGUUUACAUGGAAGCGUUCUUAGCGGCGGACGGGUGAGUGACACGUGGGUAACCUGCCUCAAAGUGGGGGAUAGCCUUCCGAAAGGAAGAUUAAUACCGCAUAAGCCUACAGUGCCGCAUGGCACCGUAGGAAAAGGAGCAAUCCGCUUUGAGAUGGACCCGCGGCGCAUUAGCUAGUUGGUGAGGUAACGGCUCACCAAGGCGACGAUGCGUAGCCGACCUGAGAGGGUGAUCGGCCACAUUGGAACUGAGACACGGUCCAGACUCCUACGGGAGGCAGCAGUGGGGAAUAUUGCACAAUGGGCGAAAGCCUGAUGCAGCAACGCCGCGUGAGUGAUGAAGGCCUUCGGGUCGUAAAGCUCUUUGAUCAGGGAUGAUAAUGACAGUACCUGAAAAACAAGCCACGGCUAACUACGUGCCAGCAGCCGCGGUAAUACGUAGGUGGCGAGCGUUGUCCGGAAUUACUGGGCGUAAAGGAUGCGUAGGUGGAUACUUAAGUGGGAUGUGAAAUCCCCGGGCUCAACCCGGGAACUGCAUUCCAAACUGGGUAUCUAGAGUGCAGGAGAGGAAAGCGGAAUUCCUAGUGUAGCGGUGAAAUGCGUAGAUAUUAGGAGGAACACCAGUGGCGAAGGCGGCUUUCUGGACUGUAACUGACACUGAGGCAUGAAAGCGUGGGUAGCAAACAGGAUUAGAUACCCUGGUAGUCCACGCCGUAAACGAUGGGUACUAGGUGUAGGAGGUAUCGACCCCUUCUGUGCCGUCGUUAACACAAUAAGUACCCCGCCUGGGGAGUACGGUCGCAAGACUAAAACUCAAAGGAAUUGACGGGGGCCCGCACAAGCAGCGGAGCAUGUGGUUUAAUUCGAAGCAACGCGAAGAACCUUACCUAGACUUGACAUCUCCUGAAUUACCCUUAACCGGGGAAGCCCUUCGGGGCAGGAAGACAGGUGGUGCAUGGUUGUCGUCAGCUCGUGUC